CCUACGGGUGGCAGCAGUGGGGGAUCUUCCGCAAUGGGGGAAACCCUGACGGAGCGACGCCGCGUGGAGGAUGAAGGCCUUCGGGUCGUAAACUCCUGUCAGUCUGGAAGAAAAUCUGCAGCAAUGUGGAUUGACCGUACAGGCAGAGGAAGCUCCGGCUAACUCCGUGCCAGCAGCCGCGGUAAUACGGAGGGAGCGAGCGUUGUUCGGAAUCAUUGGGCGUAAAGGGCAUGUAGGCGGCUCUGUAAGUCGGGUGUGAAAUCCCAUCUCUCAAGGGUGGAACGGCAUUCGAAACUGCAGGGCUUGAGUUCGGGGGAAGAGAGCGGAAUUCUCGGUGUAGCGGUGAUAUGCGUAGAUAUCGAGAAGAACACCAGCGGCGUAAGCGGCUCUCUAUCCUGAAACUGACGCUGAGGUGCGAAAGCCAGGGGAGCGAACGGGCUUAGAUACCCCGGUAGUC
rnacentral:rRNA from 1 species